rnacentral:rRNA from 1 species
UAAAUUGCUGUGGUAUUUUGACUAUACGAAGGUAUUGAAAUAAGAUUUUAAUUGAGUGCUAAGAGAAUGGUUGAACAAAGAGAGACUUUCUUGAUAUUUAUAAUAAAAGUUGAUUUAAAAAUGAAAAAGUUUUUAUGAAAAUUUGGGACAAGAAGACCCUAUGAAUUUUUAUUAAAAAUUAAUUUUUUAAUUUUUAAUUUAUAUAAAUUAAAUUAAUUUUUAGUUUGAUUGGGGCGAUUUUUAAAGAUUGAGAAUCUUUAAAUGAAGAUGUAAUUAGAACCAUUAUUAUUGGUUGUAUGAGUAAAAUACUCUAGGGAUAACAGCGUUAUUAUUUUGAAUAGUUCAUAUUGAUAAAAUAGUUUGCGACCUCGAUGUUGGAUUAAGAUUCUUAUAUAAUGAAGAAGUUAUAUAAAGAAGUUUGCUCAACUUUUAAAAUCCUACUUG